CACCUGUUUGCCACCAUGUAUCCACCACAGGACACCGCUUGUCCCCGACCACACUGUAGUACCACUGCCAUGCUUCGGUGUUGAUUGGCUCACCCACUGCGGGAACACAAGAACAGAGUCACUCAGGGAACCAAUGCAGGCAAUUGAAAGUCGGCGUCAAGCUACAGCUAGUCUGCGCUGCAUGAUCCGACUCACUAUGGAGUGGAUUUCAAGAUGGAGACCAACGCCGGAGCUAAAAGGUUUUCUUCCAACUAGGGGGCAGCAGAGUCGUUUUUUAAAAUGGAGGCUGUGUGUCUUUGUUGCUUUCAAAUUCAAGGAUCGAUUUGACAUUGGAUGAACAACGGAGACUGAACAACGGAGACUAAACAGCGUUCACAAUGCUACGGUGAGGGAAAACCGACAGAAACAACCAUGGACUUCAUCUAUGAGUAAAGAGCCUCGGCACUGAACCCAGCAAACACCACGUUGUGGGCGGCACCGAUACGUGCACAGGCCAACAUGGACGCCACUGCCAGGGGGCAGGCUGGCAUAUAGAUGGUGACACAGUCGCCCUUUUUUACACCGUGGCGUCUCAACAGAUUACCCAGGCGACACGUCAUCUCCAGCAGCUGCCUGUGAAAGAAUACAAGUGGUCAACUCUCAGGUUCACAUGGGCCGCACCAGCAGACAUGAAGACAUGAGGACAUGAAGACAGCCUGCUCCACGUCUCCCGCAGAGACUGUUGGCCCCAUCCCACAGAAAAACAGAAAUUUAAGCUGACUUGCUCGGGUCUUCAACUGUUGGGCCUCAAACGUCUUUAACUCAAAAGCCUGAGGUCCCGCUAAUAAAUUGUGACAGCGUCCUAAACCUGGACAAUUGUCCUGUGCAGGAGCAGGUGGGCUCAGAGGGGUGAGGCCAUGAUGUCAUCAGUUUGGUGGCUCAAAUAAUCAGAAUAAUUGUUUUGUUUUUUUAAAUGUAGCCAAAAUAUAGAAUAAUAACAGAAAAAAAAACAGACAAAUGUGAGCCAGGAAUUGUUAGCAUUAGCAUAAAAUACAGCUAAAAAACACCAACAAGCUAAAAAACUGUGCCAGUCAAAAUAAAUCAAAACAUUUAGAAAUGUAGGAAUAAUAAAUGAGUAUAAAAGAAUAUAAAAGAUGUAAACCAAAAUUUAAAAACUGUGGAGAAAUAUCCCUCCAGAUUAAAACAUAGUUUAAAAGUGGAAAGAAAAUACAAUAAGUAGUCUGUAAAAAUAUAGAAUAUAGUUGGCCAAAAAUUACAAAUAUGAGUUAACAUUGAUGG